UUCCGGAUGGCAGCAGAUGUGAACUCAGGGACCAUGCUUCCUGCAUGAACGGAAGUGACCCCCAGAAGUCCCAGAACAGCCUGUGUGAGUCACCCUGGAAAAACACGCAGCCCCACUUUCCACGGAAGCAGGCAACCAAGCCAACCAAGCCACGAUUCCUGCCUGGGAGCUGCCCCAGCGUCUCUGCCAGGAGAACAAGCUGAUUUGUGCUUGGGGCCUAGUCGGGGUCUGUGCCCAGUUCGCUGGAGUGAGAGGACAUUGCCCAGGGUCAGGAAUGCCACCAGCGCCAGCACGGAAGCAGUUUGGGGACAGCCGUCCCAAUAGAAAAGUAUUCCAGAUCUGUAC